rnacentral:rRNA from 2 species
UUAAGUUAUUAAGGGCGCACGGUGGAUGCCUUGGCACUAGAAGCCGAUGAAGGACGUUACUAACGACGAUAUGCUUUGGUGAGCUGUAAGUAAGCUUUGAUCCAGAGAUUUCCGAAUGGGGAAACCCAGCAUGAGUUAUGUCAUGUUAUCGAUAUGUGAAUACAUAGCAUAUCAGAAGGCACACCCGGAGAACUGAAACAUCUUAGUACCCGGAGGAAGAGAAAGAAAAUUCGAUUCCCUUAGUAGCGGCGAGCGAAAUGGGAAGAGCCCAAACCAACAAGCUUGCUUGUUGGGGUUGUAGGACACUCUAUACGGAGUUACAAAGGACGACAUUAGACGAAUCAUCUGGAAAGAUGAAUCAAAGAAGGUAAUAAUCCUGUAGUCGAAAAUGUUGUCUCUCUUGAGUGGAUCCUGAGUACGACGGAGCACGUGAAAUUCCGUCGGAAUCUGGGAGGACCAUCUCCUAAGGCUAAAUACUCUCUAGUGACCGAUAGUGAACCAGUACCGUGAGGGAAAGGUGAAAAGCACCCCGGAAGGGGAGUGAAAUAGAACCUGAAACCGUGUGCUUACAAGUAGUCAGAGCCCGUUAAUGGGUGAUGGCGUGCCUUUUGUAGAAUGAACCGGCGAGUUACGAUUUGAUGCAAGGUUAAGCAGUAAAUGUGGAGCCGUAGCGAAAGCGAGUCUGAAUAGGGCGUUUAGUAUUUGGUCGUAGACCCGAAACCAGGUGAUCUACCCUUGGUCAGGUUGAAGUUCAGGUAACACUGAAUGGAGGACCGAACCGACUUACGUUGAAAAGUGAGCGGAUGAACUGAGGGUAGCGGAGAAAUUCCAAUCGAACCUGGAGAUAGCUGGUUCUCUCCGAAAUAGCUUUAGGGCUAGCCUCAAGUGAUGAUUAUUGGAGGUAGAGCACUGUUUGGACGAGGGGCCCCUCUCGGGUUACCGAAUUCAGACAAACUCCGAAUGCCAAUUAAUUUAACUUGGGAGUCAGAACAUGGGUGAUAAGGUCCGUGUUCGAAAGGGAAACAGCCCAGACCACCAGCUAAGGUCCCAAAAUAUAUGUUAAGUGGAAAAGGAUGUGGCGUUGCCCAGACAACUAGGAUGUUGGCUUAGAAGCAGCCAUCAUUUAAAGAGUGCGUAAUAGCUCACUAGUCGAGUGACACUGCGCCGAAAAUGUACCGGGGCUAAACAUAUUACCGAAGCUGUGGAUUGUCCUUUGGACAAUGGUAGGAGAGCGUUCUAAGGGCGUUGAAGCAUGAUCGUAAGGACAUGUGGAGCGCUUAGAAGUGAGAAUGCCGGUGUGAGUAGCGAAAGACGGGUGAGAAUCCCGUCCACCGAUUGACUAAGGUUUCCAGAGGAAGGCUCGUCCGCUCUGGGUUAGUCGGGUCCUAAGCUGAGGCCGACAGGCGUAGGCGAUGGAUAACAGGUUGAUAUUCCUGUACCACCUAUAAUCGUUUUAAUCGAUGGGGGGACGCAGUAGGAUAGGCGAAGCGUGCGAUUGGAUUGCACGUCUAAGCAGUAAGGCUGAGUAUUAGGCAAAUCCGGUACUCGUUAAGGCUGAGCUGUGAUGGGGAGAAGACAUUGUGUCUUCGAGUCGUUGAUUUCACACUGCCGAGAAAAGCCUCUAGAUAGAAAAUAGGUGCCCGUACCGCAAACCGACACAGGUAGUCAAGAUGAGAAUUCUAAGGUGAGCGAGCGAACUCUCGUUAAGGAACUCGGCAAAAUGACCCCGUAACUUCGGGAGAAGGGGUGCUCUUUAGGGUUAACGCCCAGAAGAGCCGCAGUGAAUAGGCCCAAGCGACUGUUUAUCAAAAACACAGGUCUCUGCUAAACCGUAAGGUGAUGUAUAGGGGCUGACGCCUGCCCGGUGCUGGAAGGUUAAGAGGAGUGGUUAGCUUCUGCGAAGCUACGAAUCGAAGCCCCAGUAAACGGCGGCCGUAACUAUAACGGUCCUAAGGUAGCGAAAUUCCUUGUCGGGUAAGUUCCGACCCGCACGAAAGGCGUAACGAUUUGGGCACUGUCUCAACGAGAGACUCGGUGAAAUCAUAGUACCUGUGAAGAUGCAGGUUACCCGCGACAGGACGGAAAGACCCCGUGGAGCUUUACUGUAGCCUGAUAUUGAAAUUCGGCACAGCUUGUACAGGAUAGGUAGGAGCCUUUGAAACGUGAGCGCUAGCUUACGUGGAGGCGCUGGUGGGAUACUACCCUAGCUGUGUUGGCUUUCUAACCCGCACCACUUAUCGUGGUGGGAGACAGUGUCAGGCGGGCAGUUUGACUGGGGCGGUCGCCUCCUAAAAGGUAACGGAGGCGCUCAAAGGUUCCCUCAGAAUGGUUGGAAAUCAUUCAUAGAGUGUAAAGGCAUAAGGGAGCUUGACUGCGAGACCUACAAGUCGAGCAGGGUCGAAAGACGGACUUAGUGAUCCGGUGGUUCCGCAUGGAAGGGCCAUCGCUCAACGGAUAAAAGCUACCCCGGGGAUAACAGGCUUAUCUCCCCCAAGAGUUCACAUCGACGGGGAGGUUUGGCACCUCGAUGUCGGCUCAUCGCAUCCUGGGGCUGUAGUCGGUCCCAAGGGUUGGGCUGUUCGCCCAUUAAAGCGGUACGCGAGCUGGGUUCAGAACGUCGUGAGACAGUUCGGUCCCUAUCCGUCGUGGGCGUAGGAAAUUUGAGAGGAGCUGUCCUUAGUACGAGAGGACCGGGAUGGACAUACCUCUGGUGUACCAGUUGUCGUGCCAACGGCAUAGCUGGGUAGCUAUGUGUGGACGGGAUAAGUGCUGAAAGCAUCUAAGCAUGAAGCCCCCCUCAAGAUGAGAUUUCCCAACUUCGGUUAUAAGAUCCCUCAAAGAUGAUGAGGUUAAUAGGUUCGAGGUGGAAGCAUGGUGACAUGUGGAGCUGACGAAUACUAAUCGAUCGAAGACUUAAUCAA